GACGAACCGUGCGAACGUUAUUCGGAAUCACUGGGCUUAAAGGGAGCGUAGGCGGGCUAUCAAGUCUGGGGUGAAAUCCCGCGGCUCAACCGCGGAACUGCCUCAGAUACUGACGGCCUCGAGGGGGAUAGGGGCAUGCGGAACUGUAGGUGGAGCGGUGAAAUGCGUUGAUAUCUACAGGAACUCCGGUGGCGAAAGCGGCGUGCUGGAUCCCUUCUGACGCUGAGGCUCGAAAGCUAGGGGAGCAAACGGG
rnacentral:rRNA from 1 species